rnacentral:rRNA from 1 species
UGGUGGAGUGAUUUGUCUGGUUAAUUCCGUUAACGAACGAGACCCCUGCCUGCUAAAUAGUUCGGCGAGUGAAUUUCACUGGCUAGAGCUUCUUAGAGGGACGUGCGUUCUAUUAGACGCAGGAAGAUAGGGGCAAUAACAGGUACGUAUGAAGCUGCUAUCGUUUUUGGCUGUCAGUGGGUGGUUCCCACUCUAUAUAUUAACGGAUUGAACCGUAUCUUACCGUUUUCUUCUAUCUCU